CCAGACUCCUACGGGAGGCAGCAGUGAGGAAUAUUGGUCAAUGGGCGGAAGCCUGAACCAGCCAAGUCGCGUGAGGGAAGAAGGCCCUGCGGUUCGCAGACCUCUUUGGACGGGGAGCAAGGCCGCCGACGUGUCGGCGGAAGGAGAGUACCCGUAGAACAAGCAUCGGCUAACUCCGUGCCAGCAGCCGCGGUAAUACGGAGGAUGCGAGCGUUAUCCGGAUUUAUUGGGUUUAAAGGGUGCGCAGGCGGGACGGCAGGCCGGGGGUGGAAUGGGGGGGCUCAACGCCGCCGGGCCGUCGGAAGUGCCGGGCUAGAGUGGGCGAGAAGUGCGCGGAAUGCGUGGUGUAGC
rnacentral:rRNA from 1 species